UCCUACGGGGCGCAGCAGUGAGGAAUAUUGGUCAAUGGGCGGAAGCCUGAACCAGCCAAGUCGCGUGAGGGAAUAAGGCCCUACGGGUCGUAAACCUCUUUUGCCGGGGAGCAAGGGCGGGGACGUGUCCCGGCCCGGAGAGUACCCGGAGAAAAAGCAUCGGCUAACUCCGUGCCAGCAGCCGCGGUAAUACGGAGGAUGCGAGCGUUAUCCGGAUUUAUUGGGUUUAAAGGGUGCGUAGGCGGAAUGCCAAGUCAGCGGUAAAAUCGCGGGGCUCAACCUCGCUCCGCCGUUGAAACUGGCGU
rnacentral:rRNA from 1 species